UGACUUUAGGAAAUAAGCUCUAGCCAAGC
rnacentral:piRNA from 1 species